GGCGAAUCCACAUGAAUAUGGAAGCACCCAUAGGAGAUGUGGCGAAUCCACAUGAAUAUGGGGUAGAAGCCUAGUGGGGGGCUACCCACUGAGGAAAAGAGGAAAAGAGGAAAAGAGGAAAAGAUGAAAAGUUGAAAAGGAUGUGCAUUGUAGGGUUUUAGCUCAUGGUCGGGUAACGGGAGUUAAAGGUGUCAUAGGGUCGGGUCGGACGGACAAGAGGAGUCGGUUAAGUCUAGGGUUUGACGCGUGUGGCAAUGAGUGAGAUCAUUGUAUUGAUUGAUCGCUAGGUUGUUAGAAAUGAAAGGAAGUGAUUGUGGAAAUUGCAGAUAACAUUAGGAAAUGAUGAAAAUGCAUUAACUGAUUGUAGUGGCUAGUCAGUCCUAGUUCCCGCAUGGAGUAGUAUAGAGUGUCAUGCGGGCAGGCUGGUCUAGAACCACUUCACUGAGUAACUUGUUGCUCACCCCUCCAUUUCCAUUUUUCCUGUGCGCAGGACUGUAAGUAGAAGUAUAUGGAUGUGGGUAUGACGGUAUUUCAAAGAAGGUUAUGCGCUCGUCUCUCGGGACCAGUAACGGGACACGUAGGGUUGUCUAGAUGAGUAGACACGUGUCCAUAACGCCCCUUCGAUAACCCCGGUCGGACUCCGGGGAAUCGGGCUGUUACAAUUGGUAUCAGAGCGGGUUAAGAUCCCUUAGUUCUGUCCUAAGGGAUCGGCAUUUCCGACGUUUAAAAAAAAAAAAAAAAAAAAAAAAAAAAAAAAAUAUUUUUAUAUAUUUCGUUUUCGGAAAAAAAAAAAAAAAAAAAAAAAAAAAAAAAAAAAAAUUUUGCAAUAUUACUAAGUAUUUUCGGAUUGUGAAAGAAUUAAUUGAAAAUCCCACUAUACCCAUACUUCUAUUAUGGUUCUGAUUGAAAUCUUAUUGCAGGAUGUUUCCGCUUGACCAUUACGAGUGGAGGAUGCCGCGUAUGCACUACGGACGGAGGAACACCAGGGAGUAUGCCCAAAGGCGUCACUAUGACAGGGAGGGUAACUUGGUGCUACCCAUGUUUCCGGAUCCUGAAGAACAGUACAGGGAGUUCCCAUUCAGGUACCCGCACGAGCAGACUGUGAGGCAUAAGGUGUUGAUGCCUCAUUUCCAGAGGAUGGCUAUGGAGACACGCCUACUGCAGGGCAAUGCGAGAUUCCAGCUCGCAACCGAAGAGGGACCCCCGAGGAAGCGUGGCCGUCCCUGCAAGACGCCAAGUGCAGCAGGGGGACCCCCAAGGGUGUUCACCGGGAAGUGCCAGUGUGGAGUACUGAGCAAGAAUGCUCAGGAGGACCGAUCAGUCGCUGGAUACACGGAGGACUUCAUCAACCAAGCCAAGCUGUGCAAACCGAAGAAUGCAGAGACGUGGUGCAUAUGGUAUAAGAACGGGCUACGCCAGGAGCUCCAGGCGCAGCUGAGGGGUGUUUUGGAGCCCUUGGAGUUCGCGUUAGUGAGGCGGAUGGCAGGUUUCGCCAUGGAGGCAGAAGAGAAGAUUGCAGCCGAUAAGGCCGCUCUCUCGAGCAUGGAAGGAGGAAACCCGGUGGGGACGUCGAUGGCCAUGAGGUGCCGGUAGGGACACCCGCUAAGGGAAAGCGGGGGCGUCCGCGAAAACCACCUGCAGUAACGUGUGAUUGUGACGUACUGGUCCAGAUGGUUCAGAAGCCACGCAAGGUGAGAGAUUACCUGGAGGAGUUCUUGGAUACGGCCAAGAUGUGUCAACCGAAGCCAGCUGAGGAGUGGUGUCAUCUGUUUAGGGCCGGGCUACGUGGGGAUAUUCGUGAAGAACUCGUGGGAGUCCUGGAGCCUCUGGAAUUUGCACUGGUGAGAAGGAUGGCUAACCAAGCACUGCAUGCGGAGGAGUGGUUGGCGGGAAAGGAGGCGGAGGCCGAGGAGGACCGCGUCGCAGAGGGCGAUGAAGACCUGGGAUCCGAGUCCCGCUGCCCCUCGCCAUGUCAAUGUGGCUAGACGAGAUCCUAGAGACGAUUCGUAGGAGUAGGACACGUGUUUCGCUAUUGGUUUUAUUUCGUUUAUUGGUUAUUGGAGUUGGUGUUCCUUCCCUUAUUUACGGCAUUCUGUAUUGUGCAGAUGUGCUGGGUUUUCUUUUACAAACUAUUGUAGUCCUACUCUUUUUUUUUUAUUAUGACAUUCCUUCGUUGGUUUUAAAGAUCCCAGUAGAGUUAUCGUGUCAUGUAUGCCUCCCUUGAUUGUUGUGUGAAUGUGUGAAUCCAUUUUGGUAACGAACGAUUGGUCUGAAAGAUGUGGGCUUUGGAAUUCGGGGACGAAUUCCGAUUAACGGGGGAGGAUUGUAACGGCCCGGUUCCUGGCCCAUAAAAAUUUCCCAAAGAAUAUGGGCUUCUCUACGGCCCAUUUAGCAAAACCCUAGGGCUUCCCCUUCCCUUUACUAUAAAAAGAGAUGCAGUCUCCCUUUCUGCCUCAUCACAAAUCUGAAGCGAAGCCCUGCAGAGAAUUCCCGGAGGUCGAAAACCCUAGCCGUCGAGCUCUCUCUCUCUCUCUCCUGCGCCGUCUCUCUCUCUCUCUCUCUCUCUCCCGCGUGUCGCUCUCUCUCUCCUCGCCGUCACCCUCUCUCUCUCCUCGCCGUCGCACGCUCUCUCUCUCUCUCCCUCUCGCCGGCGCCGUGUGAAGUGGUGGUGCUGACCAGAUCUCAACCUUCUCAAAUCCUCGUUUCCAGAUCCAGAUCCAGAUCUAAGACUAAAGUGGAGUGUUUCGAACCCAACCUUCUUUCAUGGUUCUGUAUACUCCUUUAUGUUGGAGUUAGGCUUGAUUAGACCCUGAUUGGGAGUUAGGUUGAUAGGACAUGGUAUUGCUAGGAUGAUAGAUGAAUGAAUCAUGAUGCAUAAGAACCCUCAUACUGAUAAAUGGGACUUGAUGAACUGAAUUGAAUUGUCGUGGUAAUGAUUGAUUGGUAGUUGAUACUUGUAUGUUUGGUUGUGUUGUCCCAUGUGUUGUUGUGAUUGAAGUUAGGAUGCUAGAGAGGAACAAAUGCUAGGAUGAUAGAUGAGCAAUGAUUAUAAACGUUAUUGAAGUAGAACUUGAAUGCGAUGUGUAUUGUGUGUGACACCGAUAACGGGUGGCGUCUAGUGACUAGUCCAAGUUCAAGUAUGAAUGAAAAGGGAAAGUAAUUGGGAAUGGGGAGGAUUAAGUGAAAACGAUAAGGAAGUGAAAUGAUAAGAAAAAGUAUGAAAGAAGGAUGUUAAGGAUUAAGCAUGGGUGGGAAAGCAUAUAGAGAGUCUAAGGUUUGUAGGUGGGGUAAGUGGUCCAAGCUAGGUAUCCAUAGGAGAUGUGGCGAAUCCACAUGAAUAUGGAAGCACCCAUAGGAGAUGUGGCGAAUCCACAUGAAUAUGGGGUAGAAGCCUAGUGGGGGGCUACCCACUGAGGAAAAGAGGAAAAGAGGAAAAGAGGAAAAGAUGAAAAGUUGAAAAGGAUGUGCAUUGUAGGGUUUUAGCUCAUGGUCGGGUAACGGGGAGUUAAAGGUGUCAUAGGGUCGGGUCGGACGGACAAGAGGAGUCGGUUAAGUCUAGGGUUUGACGCGUGUGGCAAUGAGUGAGAUCAUUGUAUUGAUUGAUCGCUAGGUUGUUAGAAAUGAAAGGAAGUGAUUGUGGAAAUUGCAGAUAACAUUAGGAAAUGAUGAAAAUGCAUUAACUGAUUGUAGUGGCUAGUCAGUCCUAGUUCCCGCAUGGAGUAGUAUAGAGUGUCAUGCGGGCAGGCUGGUCUAGAACCACUUCACUGAGUAACUUGUUGCUCACCCCUCCAUUUCCAUUUUUCCUGUGCGCAGGACUGUAAGUAGAAGUAUAUGGAUGUGGGUAUGACGGUAUUUCAAAGAAGGUUAUGCGCUCGUCUCUCGGGACCAGUAACGGGACACGUAGGGUUGUCUAGAUGAGUAGACACGUGUCCAUAACGCCCCUUCGAUAACCCCGGUCGGACUCCGGGGAAUCGGGCUGUUACACAAA
rnacentral:lncRNA from 1 species